UAUGACCUGGUACUACCUAAAGGUUAAGAUAUGACCUGGUACUGUCUAAAGGUUAAGAUAUGACCUGGUACUACCUAAAGGUUAAGAUAUGACCUGGUACUACCUAAAGGUUAAGAUAUGACCUGGUACUGUCUAAAGGUUAAGAUAUGACCUGGUACUGUCUAAAGGUUAAGAUAUGACCUGGUACUGUCUAAAGGUUAAGAUAUGUCAUCUGUUUGCUGCAAAUGCACUCAAACUUGUCUAUCCUUUUGGACCAAAUUAGAAUCUGUCGUUAGGCCAUAUUACUAGAAACCUACUGGAUUUAAUGAUGUCUAGGUAACUGAUGUUUACCAGUUGUAAAUUUCACUGUGCCUUGCAAAUUCUUUUUUAAAAAUGUGUUUAUUUAAGUAGUGAGUAUAAUAGGUUACUUCCCCAAUCUAGAUACAGGACCUGGGCUGUCUCAAUAGUGUAAGCGUGCUUCCUUUCAUUGUACUUCUCCUUCGUGAUCUCUGAUCUGGCAGGUGGAAGCAACAUAUGGUGAAAGCCUCUCUCACCUAUCAUGAAGGAAAGGAGAUGAAAGAAGGAAGCCAGUGUAGUGGAUUGAGAUAUCUCCCAUGCAGCCCCAGUCUCCUUUAUAUUAAGCCCAAUGCUCUUAGACACCGGUCAGUGUUGUCUUAAAAAGGAAAGGAAUUGAUUUGGUAUAUGAAUGAACCUGGUCUGCCAAACAACAGCCAAACAGCUGUUAAAUAUGCCUACCUGGUCAGGUCAAGGGGUCAGUAGUAACUCCAGGCUCUUAUGUCCACUACUACGGUGGCCCAGAGUGGACAUCUAUUAGUUUACAACCAAGGUUGGGGGUAAAUUCCAUUUCAAUUCAGGAAGGAAAAAUUGGAAUUUCAACAAUCGUCAAUGCUUUUUAAUGAGGAAACAUUUGGAAUUGUAAUUUGGUUUUAACUUUCUGAUUUGAAAUGGAAUCGAACCCCCCCGUCAACCCUGUUUACAACCAUGUACAUUAUUACAUACCGAUGAAUGUUCUAGUUUGUUCAGGUCAAAGUGCUGCGUUUCGGUGUUUUCUUAAAGCAUCCCUCUCCAUUCAUAGCUACACGUUGUUGUGUUCAUGUAUUUGACCCCUUCUUUUUUUUGGUGGGGGGGGGACAUUCGGUUCUGAUUUUAUUUCUUUUUUU
ensembl:lncRNA